rnacentral:rRNA from 1 species
AUUGAACGCUGGCGGCAGGCCUAACACAUGCAAGUCGAGCGGAUGAAGGGAGCUUGCUCCUGGAUUCAGCGGCGGACGGGUGAGUAAUGCCUAGGAAUCUGCCUGGUAGUGGGGGAUAACGUCCGGAAACGGGCGCUAAUACCGCAUACGUCCUGAGGGAGAAAGUGGGGGAUCUUCGGACCUCACGCUAUCAGAUGAGCCUAGGUCGGAUUAGCUAGUUGGUGGGGUAAAGGCCUACCAAGGCGACGAUCCGUAACUGGUCUGAGAGGAUGAUCAGUCACACUGGAACUGAGACACGGUCCAGACUCCUACGGGAGGCAGCAGUGGGGAAUGUUGGACAGUGGGCGAAAGCCUGAUCCAGCCAUGCCGCGUGUGUGAAGAAGGUCUUCGGAUUGUAAAGCACUUUAAGUUGGGAGGAAGGGCAGUAAGUUAAUACCUUGCUGUUUUGACGUUACCAACAGAAUAAGCACCGGCUAGCUUCGUG